UGAGUCUGCAUAUGUGAAUGUGUGUGGGU
rnacentral:piRNA from 1 species